rnacentral:rRNA from 1 species
UUAAGCGACUAAGCGUACACGGUGGAUGCCCUGGCAGUCAGAGGCGAUGAAGGACGUGCUAAUCUGCGAAAAGCGCCGGCGAGGUGAUAUGAACCUUUGACCCGGCGAUGUCCGAAUGGGGAAACCCAGUGCAAUUCGUUGCACUAUCGUUAACUGAAUACAUAGGUUAACGAGGCGAACCGGGGGAACUGAAACAUCUAAGUACCCCGAGGAAAAGAAAUCAACCGAGAUUCCCCCAGUAGCGGCGAGCGAACGGGGAGCAGCCCAGAGUCUGAAUCAGCUUGUGUGUUAGUGGAAGCGUCUGGAAAGUCGCACGGUACAGGGUGACAGUCCCGUACACGAAAGCACACAGGCUGUGAACUCGAAGAGUAGGGCGGGACACGUGGUAUCCUGUCUGAAUAUGGGGGGACCAUCCUCCAAGGCUAAAUACUCCUGACUGACCGAUAGUGAACCAGUACCGUGAGGGAAAGGCGAAAAGAACCCCGGCGAGGGGAGUGAAAAAGAACCUGAAACCGUGUACGUACAAGCAGUGGGAGCACCUUCGUGGUGUGACUGCGUACCUUUUGUAUAAUGGGUCAGCGACUUAUAUUCUGUAGCAAGGUUAACCGUAUAGGGGAGCCGAAGGGAAACCGAGUCUUAACUGGGCGUUAAGUUGCAGGGUAUAGACCCGAAACCCGGUGAUCUAGCCAUGGGCAGGUUGAAGGUUGGGUAACACUAACUGGAGGACCGAACCGACUAAUGUUGAAAAAUUAGCGGAUGACUUGUGGCUGGGGGUGAAAGGCCAAUCAAACCGGGAGAUAGCUGGUUCUCCCCGAAAGCUAUUUAGGUAGCGCCUCGUGAACUCAUCUUCGGGGGUAGAGCACUGUUUCGGCUAGGGGGCCAUCCCGGCUUACCAACCCGAUGCAAACUACGAAUACCGAAGAAUGUUAUCACGGGAGACACACGGCGGGUGCUAACGUCCGUCGUGAAGAGGGAAACAACCCAGACCGCCAGCUAAGGUCCCAAAGUCAUGGUUAAGUGGGAAACGAUGUGGGAAGGCACAGACAGCCAGGAUGUUGGCUUAGAAGCAGCCAUCAUUUAAAGAAAGCGUAAUAGCUCACUGGUCGAGUCGGCCUGCGCGGAAGAUGUAACGGGGCUAAACCAUGCACCGAAGCUGCGGCAGCGACGCGUAUGCGUUGUUGGGUAGGGGAGCGUUCUGUAAGCCGUUGAAGGUGUGCUGUGAGGCAUGCUGGAGGUAUCAGAAGUGCGAAUGCUGACAUAAGUAACGAUAAAGCGGGUGAAAAGCCCGCUCGCCGGAAGACCAAGGGUUCCUGUCCAACGUUAAUCGGGGCAGGGUGAGUCGACCCCUAAGGCGAGGCCGAAAGGCGUAGUCGAUGGGAAACAGGUUAAUAUUCCUGUACUUGGUGUUACUGCGAAGGGGGGACGGAGAAGGCUAUGUUAGCCGGGCGACGGUUGUCCCGGUUUAAGCAUGUAGGCGGAGGUUCCAGGUAAAUCCGGUACCUUUUAACGCUGAGGUGUGAUGACGAGGCACUACGGUGCUGAAGUAACAAAUGCCCUGCUUCCAGGAAAAGCCUCUAAGCAUCAGGUAACACGAAAUCGUACCCCAAACCGACACAGGUGGUCAGGUAGAGAAUACCAAGGCGCUUGAGAGAACUCGGGUGAAGGAACUAGGCAAAAUGGUGCCGUAACUUCGGGAGAAGGCACGCUGAUAUGUAGGUGAAGCCCCUGCGGGUGGAGCUGAAAUCAGUCGAAGAUACCAGCUGGCUGCAACUGUUUAUUAAAAACACAGCACUGUGCAAACACGAAAGUGGACGUAUACGGUGUGACGCCUGCCCGGUGCCGGAAGGUUAAUUGAUGGGGUUAGCGGCAACGCGAAGCUCUUGAUCGAAGCCCCGGUAAACGGCGGCCGUAACUAUAACGGUCCUAAGGUAGCGAAAUUCCUUGUCGGGUAAGUUCCGACCUGCACGAAUGGCGUAAUGAUGGCCAGGCUGUCUCCACCCGAGACUCAGUGAAAUUGAACUCGCUGUGAAGAUGCAGUGUACCCGCGGCAAGACGGAAAGACCCCGUGAACCUUUACUAUAGCUUGACACUGAACACUGGUCCUUGAUGUGUAGGAUAGGUGGGAGGCUUUGAAGCGUGGACGCCAGUCUGCGUGGAGCCGUCCUUGAAAUACCACCCUUUAAUGGCUGGUGUUCUAACGUAGACCCGUAAUCCGGGUUGCGGACAGUGUCUGGUGGGUAGUUUGACUGGGGCGGUCUCCUCCCAAAGAGUAACGGAGGAGCACGAAGGUUAGCUAAUCCUGGUCGGACAUCAGGAGGUUAGUGCAAUGGCAUAAGCUAGCUUGACUGCGAGAGUGACGGCUCGAGCAGGUGCGAAAGCAGGUCAUAGUGAUCCGGUGGUUCUGAAUGGAAGGGCCAUCGCUCAACGGAUAAAAGGUACUCCGGGGAUAACAGGCUGAUACCGCCCAAGAGUUCAUAUCGACGGCGGUGUUUGGCACCUCGAUGUCGGCUCAUCACAUCCUGGGGCUGAAGUAGGUCCCAAGGGUAUGGCUGUUCGCCAUUUAAAGUGGUACGCGAGCUGGGUUUAGAACGUCGUGAGACAGUUCGGUCCCUAUCUGCCGUGGGCGCUGGAGAAUUGAGGGGGGCUGCUCCUAGUACGAGAGGACCGGAGUGGACGCAUCACUGGUGUUCGGGUUGUCAUGCCAAUGGCACUGCCCGGUAGCUAAAUGCGGAAAAGAUAAGUGCUGAAAGCAUCUAAGCACGAAACUUGCCCCGAGAUGAGUUCUCCCUGACCCUUUAAGGGUCCUGAAGGAACGUUGAAGACGACGACGUUGAUAGGUCGGGUGUGUAAGCGCAGCGAUGCGUUGAGCUAACCGAUACUAAUGAACCGUGAGGCUUAACCUU